GGUGUUUGUGAGUCCUGAAGAAACUGGUGCAUCUACCAGCAGCCUAGGUCCUGGGGCUGGGCCUGAGGCCAGAGUUGCUGGGGCUGGGACCAGGUGAGCGAUCUGAAUCCAGAAGGUCCAGAGCAGAUGACUGCAGGCAGGAGUGCAUAACAGGGAAACAUCUGACCCAAGAGCUUUCCUCUACUAGGAUGUCUCCUAUGUAUCUACUAAGAUAGUAUAGCAUCAAUGAGGGAGUCAAAAAACAAGAACACAGGCUUCUGUUUUGGAAGAUAUUUUGAAGCCAAAUGGAACAUGACUUUUCUACAGAUGUGAAGAUGGUUCUCCUAGAAUUUGACAUCCAUCUGAUGCUCCCUCUUGGGUAGGACAUGGUGGUGAUUGAUUACUUCAAGUCUGAGUAUAUGAUGACUUCACUAUGGAAUUCCAUGGCUGCUCAAAGUAUUAAAAAGAUGUUCUCUCCACCAUCGCCAUGGGAGAAAUAAAGUGCUAGAUAAUGA